GUAUAAAGUUUAAAGGGUCAAUAAAGCCCCAAUAAAAUGACAUUCUUAACAUACUUCAAAGGUUUGUAAAGACAUAGAAGUCUUAUCAAGUCAACUAACAAGCCUUUCGACUCGAGCCAACCUAAUAAAACUCCUACAAAAAGUGCACAGGUGGAUGAAUAGUUUGGAGAAGAGAACUGUGCACAUGCCUUGUUAAAAGCCAGCAACGUAGCCCCCUUCACCAUAACAUUUCAAUAAUGAUCCUUCCGCAGGUUCACCUACGGAAA
rnacentral:misc_RNA from 1 species